AUUCCAGCUCCAAUAGCGUAUGUUAAAGUUGUUGCGGCUAAAAAGCUCGUAGUUGGAUUUCUAGAUGAGAGGAGUGGUCCACCUCAUGGGUGUGCAUCUACUUCCGCUCGUCUAUCCGCUCUGCAAACGUGUUCGCGCUUGAGUGCGUGGCGCGGAGGUAGGGCCUUUUACUUUGAGGAAAUUAGAGUGUUCACGGCAGGCUUACGCCUUGAAUAUAUUAGCAUGGAAUAACAACAUAGGAUCUUGGUCCUAUUUUGUUGGUUUCUAGGACUUAGAUAAUGAUUAAUAGGGACAAUUGGGGGCAUUCGUAUCGCGGUGUCAGAGGUGGAAUUCUUGGAUUACUGCGCGACGAACUACUGCGAAAGCAUUUGCCAAGGAUGUUUUCAUUA
rnacentral:rRNA from 1 species